CAUCCUGGCCUUAUCGGAAGGCUCUUCUAAAGAAGGUGGGGCUUUGCAACCACCGGGAUGU
rnacentral:tRNA from 1 species